rnacentral:tRNA from 1 species
UGGGGUGUCGCCAAGCGGUAAGGCACUAGGUUUUGAUCCUAGCAUACCCAGGUUCGAAUCCUGGCACCCCAACCA